AGUACAUAUAUAAAUCUAGUAGUACAUAGUACAUAAAUGUAGUAAAUCUAAUGGUGUUAUGCACACAGGAACAUAUGGAGUACACCCCAUGUGCACAGCACAGAGGUUGGAAUCCAGCUGUAACUCAAGAUUGCUGCAAGACAUAGAGCAAGAAAUGUUGAUCCUUGAGGCACAUGAAUUUGCCCAGCAAGAACUUCAUCAGUCUUAAUGGUUUCUGAAUACUGGAUCUAGGCUCUGCAAAUGAGAGAUUUACAUGACUGAAUAUAUGGCUCAUGGAACAGCUUUCAGGAUUGAUGUGAUGGCAGACCUUUGUAUCAGAAAGGGGUUUUUCUCUGUUUCUUUUUUUGCUGUUAUACAUUGAUUAAAAUCCCAUGUAGAUGCUGUAAUAAGAAAUCAAUUUCCUUGCUUUGUGCUUACAUUUUCUUAUAAAAGAAAUUCCUGUUUAUUCAACAAAUUACAUUUAAUUAAAUGAGCAGAUUAAAUUUGUAUUUUAUUUCCUUUCAUUACAUAUUCCUUUGUUCUUAAUAAUAUUUUUAGCCAGCAUAUUUUUUGUUUGCAUACACUUUAUGGAGCUCAGUGAUUGACCUUCACACCCAAGAUGAAAUGGAAUAAGUGUCUUUGUUAUGGUGAUGGCAAAGUAUAAAAAACAUACAGGAAAAUGUUACCAUCCCUUGCCUAUUAAAUUUGCAGAUGUGACAGGAUAUUCAGAACAAUAACUGCAUGUGAUUUAUCAGUACUGACUGCUGACUGCCACAGUUUCAUUUGCUACACUAACACCCAAAAUGCUACUGUAAAACAUAAACCUUUUGUUUUGCAUUCCUCCCUUUGACAAAAACUGAUUUAAUUGACUUGUCUGUCCCAUGUGUUGUCUUCAUUCCAAAUUCCUAGCUGGAAAAAUAUAGUACAAUCGUGAAAAACCUUCUGACCCUUCUAAAUAUGACAGGUAUAGAAUCUCUAGCCAUUUAACAUAUACUUCUGCUUUCAGCAUACUUUCCCAAAUAAAGACUGUAUUUCUGAAUAUCAAAUAUAUUACUUGUGUAGAGUAAAAGUAACAAAUCUUCUCACUUUGCAGAAAAAACCCACAUAUUAUCCUUUAUCAUUAUUUAAUAUAUAAUUUUAUCUUUCUUUUUUCAAAUAGGAACAAGAUUUGCAUGCCAGAAAUAUACCCUUCUAUAUUAUACUAUAUCAGAAAUAUCUCUGAUAAUGCCAUGCAAUUUUUCUUCAUCCUUUGCACACCUGAAAAACUUAUUUAUUGCCUUGAAUACUUGCCUUGAAUACUCUUCCACUAAGGAUAGGAUUCUUUCAAAUGUUUUCAUUAAUGAAGCUGUUAAUUAAAGCUGCUAGUUUACAGACUGCCAAAGCUUUAAAGAGUUUGCUUAAAGAUCCAACAUGUAUGUUAGAUAAAUUAGCAUCUAAGAAAAUGCAUCGUGUUGUUUAUUGUUGUCAUUGUCAUUUAUUCCCUCUUUUUUUUACAUAACUUCCAGUAGAAGUUUGUUGAUAACAAGAGAUUCAAAAGUUAGAGCUUCAGUGAACUCAUAUUAAAUAAUAUCUUGAGAUAAACUUGUGGAUAAGUUCAGGGGCUUGCAUACUUAAAGGGGGCUGAAGUGGACUUAGGAUAUCUGGGAACGUGAAUGAAGACAAUUCCACUCAGAAGAGCCUUCUGUGACACCUAAUCCUGAAGAGGCAAGAAACUGUUCCAGUGGGAGAUGAGCUGUUCUUACUGGAAAAAUUCAAGCACAGCAAAUAGGUACUGGAGCAUAAUUUAAAGGAGACUUUUCUGCUCCAGGCUGUCCCUGUGCUUAAUGGUAAACAGGUGUUAAAAGCCUCCUUAAGAUCUGAAUCAUCCUCUCAAGAAAGCUAUUUCUUUCAGUUGACUAUGUCCCUUUAUCCCUCAGGGAAAGUAAGUGUCUAAAAUAAUGUACAGGCUCAUUUAGGGGCUGAAAGCUAGAUGGGAAAGAGUCAGGUUCAGGAAUCUAUUUUUGGCUAUGCCAGAACUCACUAAAAAUGAGUAAGCUUCCAUGCUGCUAACCUCAGUUCUGGAAAUUAAAAGAAGCAGCUUACAUGAAAGUUCUGCACUAUUGUGUUAUGUUCUUUAAAGGUUAGUAAUGAAAAAAUAGAGUUUGAGGCUGUGUCUGUGGGAAGUCUUUAAUCUUAAACCAGAUGAAUUAACAACUCCGAGGGACAAAAGAUUCUGACACAGACAAAAAUUAUGUUUGACUGAGUCAAUCUACUAAAAGAAAUUUUUUUCUUGACCCAUAUAAAUAUAUUCCAUGAUAUAUUACAAUUCAGAACAAGCCUGUUUAAGAGUAAAUUAGCCUUACGCUGAUUGCUCCUUCACAUCUCCCAAAGAAAGUACAAUGCACGUGAGAAAUUCACAUUUUGUUGCUGAGAAGUUAUAUGUCUUAAAAGCAGCUCUUGACUUCCAAUUUCUUCAUUGUUCUGCUGAGAUUUUUCCCAGUGUUGUUUUUGACCUACUAACUUCUCUGCAGUCAAUUUCUUUUUGGAGUAUGGAGAAUCAGAAACAGUCUCAUGUCAAAUAUUUAACUCUAGCAUGUGUGACAUGCCAUAUGUUCAUCUAUUAUCUACAGCCUAAUAUAUACCACAGAAUAAUCUUGUAACAGAUCUUUUCUUCUCAUGUUCUUCAACAUACAUGGUCCAACCAGAAAGUAAUUGACAUUAUGAUGCUUAUACCAAUUCAGAGAGUGAGGAAUACCUCCUCUUGACAGCCUUAACAUUAUGAUUCAUUACACCUAACUUGUCCUGAUCUCAUUCCUUUACAUCUUAACCAGAUAAUGGCACUUAACACUAAUCUUGAGGAGGGUGGAAACACCUAAUGUAAGGUUAGCCCUGUGCUUUUAUCAGUUAUAAAGCUGAUUAUUGAAAAGCAAUUGAAAAAAACUGCUAUAAAAAGGCACUGACUUUAAUAAUGGCCCAAAGCAUAUUGAGUCAAAAUGCUUUAAAUUAAUAUCAAGGAAC